AUUGAACGCUGGCGGCAGGCCUAACACAUGCAAGUCGAGCGGAUGAAGGGAGCUUGCUCCUGGAUUCAGCGGCGGACGGGUGAGUAAUGGCUAGGAAUCUGCCUGGUAGUGGGGGAUAACGUCCGGAAACGGGCGCUAAUACCGCAUACGUCCUGAGGGAGAAAGUGGGGGAUCUUCGGACCUCACGCUAUCAGAUGAGCCUAGGUCGGAUUAGCUAGUUGGUGGGGUAAAGGCCUACCAAGGCGACGAUCCGUAACUGGUCUGAGAGGAUGAUCAGUCACACUGGAACUGAGACACGGUCCAGACUCCUACGGGAGGCAGCAGUGGGGAAUAUUGGACAAUGGGCGAAAGCCUGAUCCAGCCAUGCCGCGUGUGUGAAGAAGGUCUUCGGAUUGUAAAGCACUUUAAGCUGGGAGGAAGGGCAGUAAGUUAAUACCUUGCUGUUUUGACGUUACCAACAGAAUAAGCACCGGCUAACUUCGUG
rnacentral:rRNA from 1 species